UGAAAAUAUUGUAACACCAAAACCAGAUGAAAACAAAUUUUCCAAAAAAUUUUGGUCUUAUAUUAAAAGCAAAAAAACUGACUACAGUGGAAUAACAUCACUUAAGCAGAAUGGAAAACUAUAAACUGACACCAAACAAAAUCUGAUGCACUCAACAGGCAGUUUCAAUCAGUUUUCUCAGAACCAAACAAAAUCACUGCUACUGAAUUUGAAAGCAAUCAAUACAUGCAACAGAAAACAGCUUACCCUACCAUGUCCGACAUAAAUAUCACCAUCCAAGGUAUCUCAAAACUUCUUCUAAAUUUAAACCCAUCCAAGGCAAGUGGACCAGACGAACUUAAGCCACGUCUCCUUAGGGAGUUAGCACAUGAAAUUUCACCAAUACUAUGUCUUAUAUAUCAAAAAUCAUUAGACACUGGCGAAGUCCCUACUGACUGGCGUACUGCACAUGUUUCACCCAUCUACAAGAAAGGUUCCAAAUAUAAUCCAGAGAAUUAUAGACCUAUUUCUUUGACAUGCAUAUGUUGUAAACUUAUGGAACAUGUUGUAGUUAGCGCAAUCAUGACACACGCAGACAAACAUAACAUCCUGUAUCCCCUACAACACGGCUUUCGAAAAAACAGAUCUUGUGAAACUCAACUUUUGGAAUUUGUAGAUGAUGUCACUAAAAAUAUGAAAAACUCAAAACAAACAGAUGUACUUACAAUGGAUUUCUCCAAAGCUUUUGAUAAAGUCAGUCAUAACUUGUUAACACACAAAUUAAAUUACUAUGGGAUACAGGGGG
rnacentral:lncRNA from 1 species